CGCGUAGGCGGGUGCUCAGGUCCGGGGUGAAAUCCUCCAGCUCAACUGGAGAACUGCCUCGGAUACUGGGUGCCUCGAGGGUGGUAGGGGUAUGCGGAACUAUCGGUGGAGCGGUGAAAUGCGUUGAUAUCGAUAGGAACUCCGGUGGCGAAGGCGGCAUACUGGACCACAUCUGACGCUGAGGCGCGAAAGCCAGGGAGCAAACG
rnacentral:rRNA from 1 species